AGAAUCAACGCUGGCGGCGUGCCUAACACAUGCAAGUCGAACGAGAAAGUGGAGCAAUCCAUGAGCAAAGUGGCGACCGGGUGAGUAACACGUGACUAACCUACCUUCGAGUGGGGGAUAACCUCGGGAAACCGGGGCUAAUACCGCAUAACAUCUUUGAAGUGGAAAUUUCGGAGAUCAAAGGGGCAAUUCGCUUGAAGAGGGGGUCGCUGCUGAUUAGCUAGUUGGCGGGUAACGCCCACCAAGGCUUAGAUCGGUA
rnacentral:rRNA from 1 species